rnacentral:rRNA from 1 species
GGAUUAGAUACCCUGGUAGUCCACGCCCUAAACGAUGGGUACUAAGUGUCGGCGGGUUACCGCCGGUGCCGCACCUAACGGAGUAAGUACCCCGCCUGGGGAGUACGGCCGCAAGGUUGAAACUCAAAGGAAUUGACGGGGGCCCGCACAAGCGGUGGUGCAUGUGGUUUAAUUCGACGCAACGCGAAAAACCUUACCCAGGCUUGACAUGCUAGUGGUAAGAACCGGAAACGGGGAUGACCCUGAAAGGGGAGCUAGCACAGGUGCUGCAUGGCUGUCGUCAGCUCGUGUCG